ACAGGUUCAAGCUAACCAUCCCAUCUUUUCCUGUUAAUAACAUCUUACUUGCUUCCAUACCGGUCGUAAACACCAUAUACCGUCCAAGAACAUAGCUCUUAAACACUUUUCCGUAUCUACGUUAAUUAAUUGCUAUAAGCAAGCAACAAAUUUAAUUGCAAUUGAUAUGAGAUUGAUUACCUUUGUUGCCUUUUAUUCAUGAAACUGAAAAUACCAGCAGGACUUGAAAAUUCAGAUAUAAAAGACAAACUCUCUCCUAAAAAUGGCCAACCAAAGCUACCUGGGAUGCCAUCCAUUUCCUUUGGGAAAGCACAUGCAUGAAGCAAGGCCAGUGUUAGAAUCAGCAGCAGCAGGACCAAUCCAACACCCAUCACUGUUGCCAUGCUCACCUCCAUUUUUUUAGUUCCAAGACAACUGUUUGUUGUUUCGGCAUUGCAUCUAUGCUUAUUGCUAUAAAUCUCAUCAUCUACACUGAGCGUCACUGUCCUAGAGGUAUGAUACAACCCAACUUCCUAAGAGGUGAAAAGGUACAAAAUGAGUAUUUGCCAUAUAUAAAUAUUAUAUAUUUAAAAAAAAUAUUAUGACAUCACAAACACCUGCCGUUUCCAUUUGUGAUGGAUGGAUGGAUUUUUCCUUUUAUUUCCUCGACUUCAGUUUAAUUGGGGUAUAAGUUUUCGAAACUUUCAUGGAUAUCUUGUAAAUCCCAAUAUACAUAUUACAUAUACCUCGGUUCUAACGUAUCCCUGUAACCAUGUUUAAGAGCAUCUCUUUUAUAUCUCCUCUCUGUUUCUUUCCGGUCUCUCUCGUUUUUUUUAUUUAAGAAGUUAUUUUAACAUAACUGCUUGAUCAAUUUCUUUUUAAAUCUCAUAAAGUUUUUAAAUCUCCAUGGCUUCUUUCCCUUGUAUUGGUUCAUGGCAUUGAGGUUGACAGUAGCCUCCUCCUCACUCUGACCACCUGACAAGAACAUAACAGCUGGGACAGCUGGUGGCAUGGUUCGUUGCAGGGCAUGGAAUGUGUACUCUGCCACUACUUCGGGUGCAACCUUCUUGGCAUCAGACCCAGUUGAAAUAAGGAACUACUAGGUUGAGGGAGGAGGUGUGACAAGCGACUGAGGAAGGAGGAGGUGUGAGCGAUGACGGAGGGAGGAGGUGCGAGCGAUGAUGGAGGAGAAGUGACAACCGAAAGGGGAGGAGGAUGGAGAGCUCUUUCUUAUGAAGGAUGAAGUCCCUGAGUUGCGACAAAUGGUGAGGACAAUUGUAUCCGGCCGGUCAGUUCCAAGUUUUUCAUCUUCGUUAACUGUUCAAGACCAACGUUCGGAGACUCAAGAUCGUUAAACAUGCUAUGAUGA